ACUUGAGGUCACAUUGUCCUGUGUGUGUCUGAUCCUUUCAGAUCUGGGACUCUAAGCAGGGCUGAGCCUGGUUAGUACUUGUAUGGGAGACUGCUGUGGAAGACUAGGGACUGCCAGAC
rnacentral:rRNA from 12 species